AGCUUCCGGGAGGGCGGCUCGCAGGCACCAUGACUCCUGUGAGGAUGCAGCACUCCCUGGCAGGUCAGACCUAUGCCGUGCCCCUCAUCCAGCCAGACCUGCGGCGAGAGGAGGCCGUCCAGCAGAUGGCGGAUGCCCUGCAGUACCUGCAGAAGGUCUCUGGAGACAUCUUCAGCAGUGAGAGCGGCCUUGCUGCGGCCAAAGAACAUGGAAAAGCAUGAGUGGGGUGAUGUGCCUUAAAGCAUCAGACACUUGGGCCUCGGGCAUCAGGAGCCAGCCACAGGGAUGUCUGGGGAAAUGGCGUUCCAUGAGAUGCAAGCACACAAGAAUGCACUUGGCACAUCUGGGGAACAGCAGGCAGCUGAUAUCACUGGGCCCACCCCGCACCAGGGAGGAUGGAAGCAGGUAGAGCAGAGCCGGAGCCAGGUGCAGGCCAUUGGAGAGAAGGUCUCCUUGGCCCAGGCCAAGAUUGAGAAGAUCAAGGGCAGCAAGAAGGCCAUCAAGGUGUUCUCCAGUGCCAAGUACCCUGCUCCAGAGCGCCUGCAGGAAUAUGGCUCCAUCUUCACGGGCGCCCAGGACCCUGGCCUGCAGAGACGCCCCCGCCACAGGAUCCAGAGCAAGCACCGCCCCCUGGACGAGCGGGCCCUGCAGGAGAAGCUGACUUUCCUGUGUGCGUGAGCACCAAGCCGGAGCCCGAGGACGAUGCAGAAGAGGGACUUGGGGGUCUUCCCAGCAACAUCAGCUCUGUCAGCUCCUUGCUGCUCUUCAACACCACCGAGAACCUGUAGAAGAAGUAUGUCUUCCUGGACCCCCUGGCUGGUGCUGUAACAAAGACCCAUGUGAUGCUGGGGGCAGAGACAGAGGAGAAGCUGUUUGAUGCCCCCUUGUCCAUCAGCAAGAGAGAGCAGCUGGAACAGCAGGUCCCAGAGAACUACUUCUAUGUGCCAGACCUGGG
ensembl:lncRNA novel transcript